CGGCCCGUAGCUCAGCGGCAGAGCGGGCGGCUGUAGACCGCCAGGUCCCGGGUUCAAAUCCCGGCGGGCCGACCA
rnacentral:tRNA from 1 species